AAUGAAUGAAGACGAUAAAAAAAACGAAUUUCCAAUUCCAAUUUUCCGCAGUGGCAUUUUCUUUCUAUUACAAUUUCAUAUUCUUUUUGUUCAAGCAAGUAUUAAAAAAAAGAUAUAAUG
rnacentral:ribozyme from 13 species